AUCGCUUCUCAGCCUUUUUGCUCCGAUCAAGUGUAGUAUCUGUGAUUCUGAUCCAGUGCAAUCACUAGAAUGAUUCUUUGAAAAUCACAGAUAUCAAUUUUAUUUAGAGAUCUGAUAUCUUUUGAAAGUGACUUAAAUAUUGAAACAUUUUAAAUAUUUGAGUCUCAAACUAU
rnacentral:snRNA from 1 species